CGUUGAAGGACCGCCCUGCGCCCAUUCGCCCGUGGGUUUCAAGGUCCCGGGUUGGCUAGGCGGGCCGAGGAAUGGGGGUGCAGGGAUUGGCUGAGGGGGGGACAUUGGGGUGGGGCAGCUGAGAGCCGCCCGGCGAUUGGGUAGGUAUAGUAAGGGCUUUGCGCCCAGACCGGCUGAGCGCGAGGAAGAGGGUGGGCCGGAGGAAGCGACUUGAAUGGCGAAGGCGGCUAGGUACCAGGCGGUCGGCUGGAAGGACCUUGAGGACCACGUGAUUCAACCGCCAGCGUGCGGUGCGGACGCCCAGAGAGGGUAUGCAGCUGGCCCAAGGUCACACAGCCGGUUAGUGACUCGGUCCGGCCUGGGCUCCCGCGCUGCCGAUGCCCUCGGCCCUCGCGCAGCAUCGCCCCACGCGGUCGCCUUGGGCCCGAGCAUAGGGUCUGCGACUCGCGUUGUCACAGUAGAGUCCCGCAUAGGACCGGGUUUAAACCCACCGUCCCCUGUCAUCAGGGACCUGAUGGAACAGAAAUGAUUCAUCUCUUGUCCCGCGCCGCUUUCCUAUAAAGACACAAUUUUUUAUUUUAUUUUGCCUUUUUGAGACAGACUCUCGCUGUGUCGUUCAGGGUGGCCUUGAGCUCACUUUGUAGCUCAGGCUGGUCUCGUACUUGCAGCGAUCCUUCUGCCUCAGCCUCCCGAGUGCUGGAAUAAAAGCACGAUCCUAAGCCACAAUAAAUGUGUUCUGCCAAAAAG